UGCACAGUCUGGGUCUGCCCUUGCAGUGGUAUCUGUCUCUGUGAAGACUCCACCACGGGUCGCCAUCAGGUCAGAGACCCUGACAAGACGCAAAAACCAAGGCCAAACAGCUGAGUUUUCUGCCCUGGAGGAGGAAAGUGGUCUCUGAAAGCCAGAAGACUCUCACAUUACAUAAUUCCUGCCAGCUGCUGUCAAGAGCUGCUAAGCUGUCCUCAAGUCCUGUGUCUGAUGUCAAGCUAAUAACAGAUUUAGGGUGCAUUAGUAAAGGUAUCUUAAUCAAGUCUAGAUGCCUUCGAGAUUAGACUCAGCCAUGAUGAGCAGCUAAGGAUUAGCAAGAAAGAUUACAAAUUGUUUCCAGGAAUUUAUUUCUUUCAACACUGAUUAUAUGUAUAGUCUUAAGUCAAAUUAAAAUGUUGUUUAUGUUCA